AUGCUGGAGUUGAAUGUGGGGACAAUCCUCUCUUUAUCCAUAGCACCAUUAAUAUGGUUCUCACCGGAACUAUCGGUCUCAUUGGAGUUGCUCACGACACCGACAUCGAUCCUUUUGAGAUCAGCCGGAUUCAUUUUAUCAAGUAUUACGUCGACUUGUUGAUUGAGACAAGCUACAUACUUGAUUUUCAUGGCGUUGAUUUUUGCUGCAUUUUGCCAAGGUGGACUUCCUGAAGAAAUAUGACACUUUCAUAGACAAAGAAGAUGAGAAUGCUACUGACACGAAGAAGAUGGGAUUACAGAGACGAAGAUGGAGGAAUGCUACAGAGACAAAGAAGAUGGAGGAAUGCUACAGAGACGGAGAAGAUGGGUAUAUUUAUUAACAACAAUAUCUCAUGGUUUUCACUUAAGCCAUCUUCUCUGUCUCUGUAGCAUUCCCAUCUUCUUCGUCUCUGUAGCAUUCCUCCAUCUUCUUCGUCUCUAUACCAUUCCCUUUUUUUUUGCCUCUGCAGUCCCAUUUUCUUCAUCUCUGUAGCAUUUCCAUUUUCUCUGUCUUUGAAAAUGUCGUCUUCUUUAGUUAACCUCUGCAAAAUGUAGCAAAAAUCAAUGCCAUGAAAAUUAAGUAUGUAGCUUGUCCCAAUCAAUAGGUCGACGUAAUAAUUGCUAAAAUGAAUCCGGCUGAUCUCAAAAGGAUCGGUGUCGGUAUUGUGAGCAGUUCCAAUGAGAUCGAUAGCUCCAGUCAGAACCAUGUCAAUGGUGGUAUGGAUAAAGAGAGGAUUGUUCCCACAUUCAACUCCAGCAUCACUGCCUUAGGACUUUUCCGAUCCUUUUCAAGAGAGAACUCAAGGAAACACUACUUGCAAUUGCUGAAAACGAAGAUGCCAAGUGGAGUAGACCCAAGGGAUGUGGAUUCACAGCAGUGCAAUAGCGGACCCUUCAAGAAUGUAAACGAUUGUUAGAGGAGCGGGUUUAGCCAGACUUGAGCACCGAAUUGGGACCAAGAUCAACGGCUCCACCAAAGGUGCCUCAUGUUCCAGUCAUCAAGAGCCGCUCCAGCCCCGGAGGCGAGGACAAAGAGCAUGCUAAGAAACUCAAGAAUGAUAAUGGUCGUGAGAAUGGAGGUGUUGUGAAACCCAGCCGUGAAUGAGCUAACGGUGGCGGCGGCUGUCAUAAUGGGAAGCAUUCUGAAGGUGGCAGUGGUCCUAGUGAUGGGAAGCCGGAUGGUGGAGUUGCUGGUGAUGAAGGAGGAAACGGUGCUGGUGCGACGGAGGGGGCUGGAGAGGGUGGAAUUCUUGAGAAGCUUUGCUUCAUGUGAUAUUUGGAGGUUAAGACAUGGAAGAAUUUUAAAAAUGAAAAAAAUAGGUUAGGAAGAAUGAAGAGUUAGUGUAGUCGGUCUUUUUUUUAUUUUUUGUUGAACAUGGAGAAUAGUGUAAUCAAUGAGUCAGUCAGUCACAAAAAUUUGUCUUUUCCCUUCUUUUUCUGGAGGAGAGACUAUAAUUACACUCUGCUUUUGCUUUAAAUGAUUUAAAUUGUAGUCACUGGAAUGACUUAGGCCAUCCCCAAUGGUGGCAUUACCAAAAUCAACCAAACCAAACCGUGGAUUAUAGCAAUACGGCAUCGGGGAGCUCGAACGAAGCUCUUUCUGUCGGCGACUGCGCUCAUCAGCGGCGGCGACUGGUCACCUCCGACGACCCCGCCAUGACUCUACACAACCGUUAACCUAGGCCUUAUUCGAGAUGCCAUGACAUCACCUUCGGUACUCUCACUUCUGACAGGUUCACGGUACGUGGUCGUUUUAGCAUUACAUUCAGUCGAGCAUUAAGUGCCUUAGCCUUACCUUUAGCUUAAUUGUGAAUUUUUGUGUUGUUUUGAAGUUAGUUGCAUCAGAUUCAUUAAACUUAAGUGAAACUGCUUAGAUUGUAAUGGAGUUUCAAAUUUCUUUGUGGUUACAUUAGCAGAUUUUUGCUGAAUUUAAUCCUAUUCCAAUAUCCGUGAUUCCCUUCUUCAGAUUACAGGUAGUUCUGUGGUAAUCGUUGCUGUUUUUUCGUUCUUACUUUCAUGAAGAGUUGGUUGAUUGAUGAGAUGCAUGAAAGUUUACCAAGGGCAAGUUGCUUAAAUGGCUCACCCUUGAUGGGCUUCUCUGUAAACUUGUAGAGAUCUGUCCGCAUUAUAUGUCAAUUAGUCUAAAAUGUUUAUUUGUUCACAAGUUUUUGUGGCACAGAACGCUUUUUUUUACUUCGUAAUGUGCCCGUGAUGGAAAAAAACAAGGGGACUUUGGACCUCAUCUUAAGAUAUGAAGUAGUUUUCUAUCACUACACACAUGUCAUUUGGUCAUAUGUUAUUGUGGCAAUCAGGAACAAGAUUUCAUAAAUGAGGCCAAGAACAGUGAGAAAUGCUUGGAAAAUUUUCAGAAGCUUUCUACGCAUAUUGCAGCUUAUGUAUAUGCACCAAGGUCUGUUGGAAUCUAAGCCCAUCAGAAGACUUGGAAUUCGACUUGAUGAAGUUGCAAGAUUAGUAAGUCCAUGAGCUUCAUGUCAAAUUCUGACAAUCUAUAUUUUGGUAAUCAUGUUUUAAAAAAAUUGGACUGGUCUCCAUUCAGAAUUACAUUUGCUUCUCAAAGAUCCCCUUCAUCAUUUGUUGACUACAGUAGUCGAUUAUAUAAUAGUGCAAGUUGAUUUAACUUUGCAAAAUGAAUGAAGGGUAUUAGGACAUUGGAACCACGGCAUUGCGUUUAUGUUUUUCUUUUUCCCUUUUGCCUGAACCCUUGGGUCUGCGGUUGAAGGUUGAAGCUGAAAAAAUAGAUAGACCCUCAGUAAAGGCUGGUUUUGGACUCCUGUGCCCCUUUAUGUUUUCAUUGUUUAUGCUUCAAUUUCUUUGUGAGGAUAUAAUAUGACCAAGUUGGGCAAGAAAAGAAACUAAGAUUUAAUGUACUUCAUGCAAUUUAGUGAAACUUUUGCAGAAAUGAUGUUCAAACACGGGUUUGUGCAUUGUGACCCACAUGCUGCCAACUUGUUAGUCCGACCUCUGCCUUAUAGCGGCAAGAGCAUUCUAGGCAAGAAAAAACCACAGUUUAUACUUCUAGACCUGGUAUGUAUAAGGAUCUUGAGACCAGAACUAACUACGCUGAACUGUGGACGGUGCACCAUUGCUUUUCUUGGAAUAGUUUUCUUCCAUAUUGUAGCAACUUACUUUGCUGUGUUCUCUAUGUUGUUAUGAUUGUUGCAGGCUUUGAUUUUUGCUGAUGCCAAUGCAAUAGAACAAAAUAGUGCAAAAUUAGGUGCUGGAGAGGAUUUGUAUCCAUUAUUUGCAGGGAUUCUUAGUAUGAGGCCUUGGAAUAGAGUCAUUGACCCAGCCGUUGAUCAUUUGGUUAUACAGGGCAGCAGAAGUGGCCGUUCAGAACUGCAGGUGAGCUCUUACAAUGGGUUAAGUGCUUUCACGAUAUUUGUAAUUCUUUGAGACCUGAGUUAUAUGCUGUACAAUGUUGCUGAUUCAGUUCUAGCCUCAGUGAGAAGCCUUGUACUCUUCGCAAUCUUAGCGUUUAGGGUUCAUGAUACGUGUUACGUGGUUGUUUUAGCAUUACACUCAGUUGAGCAUUAAGUGCCUGAGUUAGUUGCAUCAGAUUCAUUAAAUCUAAGUGAAAAAUCAGAUUAGAAUGGAGUUCCAGAUUUCCUUGUGGUUAGAUUAUGACUAUUCACUAUGGGGACUGCCUGAGGGAAGCAGUGAGAGGGCAAAAGCUAAGCAUGAAGUUCACCUCAGGUCUGCACGUAAGCUUCAAGAAUUAUGUUUCAGCAAUGGAGGCAUAUAUAUCAGGCUCGGUCAACACCUUUGACGGCUGGGCAGAGCUAAGUAAAUGCUCAAUCAGAACAGUAUGUCUUGAUUGAAAGCAAUUGGCAGCUCAUCGACCUGUCCAUCUACCAAUGAUAGGCAAGAGGCUCUAAAUAUAUGCUCAGCUCCAAUAAAGUACAGAUUUGCUAAUGAUUCCAAUGCUGAUUAUGUGAAGACAGGCGAAGCGUCUCUAAAAUUUCAAUUGAUCAAUAACGCGCAGAUUUUUCGUUCGCAUUAUUCUCGUCGGGCUGUCUAGCGUGUGUUCAUGUCCCUUCUCUAUCAGCUUUCUUCCUAUAAUAUUUAAAUAUCACUAUUUCAAAAUUUCAGCUACUUGGUUGCGAAUGGAAAUACUUAUAAUAUUUAAAUGUCACUGUUUCAAAGUUUCAUUGGUUGCUUAUGGAAAUACUAGUCUAACUAUGUUUUUGUAAUAUGCAGCCAAAACUGGUGGCAGUUUCUAAUGCUAUAAGGUUCGUGACUUUGAAAGCACCCUUUUACCCACGUCUUGCUUAAGGGAAGUACUAGGAUGAACUAAGUUUAUGUUAUUAUGAUUCAGUACUUUAACCCUUCAUGAAGUUGUGGAUGUGGAUUCCGAUACAUCCACACAUGUUAAAUGCUCGAUUCUCUAUUAGCGACAUAUCUAAUGAGGAAACGGUGCUGGUACUGGUGCGACGGAGGGGGCUGGAGAAGGUGGAAUUCUCGAGAAGGUUAUGGAAAAGCUUUCUGAGAUAUUUGGUAGGUUUCAAAUCUUGUGUUGCUCCGCCAUCUGGCUUCCCAUUAGGACCAUUGCCACCUUCAGUACUGGUUUUCAGAUCAGUUGUUGGCUUCCCAUUUGACCACCGCCAUCUUCAGGACUGGUUUUCAGAUCAGUUGUUGGCUUCUCGUUAUUACCACCGCCACUGUUAGUUCCUUCACGACUGGGUUUCAAAACUCCUCAAUUUUCACGACCAUUGGGAGGUGCGACGGCCCCAUUUGAGCUCUCAUUCUCGGGUUUCUUAGCCUAUUCUUUGUCCUCACCUCCGGGGCUGGAGCGGCUCUUGAUGACCGGAACAGGCGGGACCGUUGGACCCAGUUCGGUGCUCAAGUCGACAUUUGCUAGCUGAACUCGCGGCACCGUUGGACCAUUCAAGAGUGUAGAAGAAUGUUAGGCGAGCAGGUUCAGCCAGCAAAUGCCGACUUGAGCACUUGUUCCGGUCAUCAAGAGUUGCUCUGGUCCUGGAGGCGAGGACAAAGAACAUGCUAAGAAACUCAGGAAUGAGAGCUCAAAUGGGGCCGUCACACCUCUUAAUGGUCGUGAAAAUGGAGGAGUUUUGAAACCGGAACUAACGGUGAAGAUGGUAAUAAUGGGAAGCCAACAACCGAUCUGAAAACCAGUCCUGAAGGUGGCAGUGGUCCUAAUGGGAACCCAGAUGGCGGAGCAACACAAGAAUUGAAACCCACCGAAUAUCUCAUAAAGCUUUUCUAGAACCUUCUCGAAAUUCCACCUUCUCUAGCCUCCUCCGUCGCACCAGUAGCAGCAUCGUUUCCUCAUUAGAUAUGUCACGAAUAGAGAAUUGAGCGUAAACGGCAUGUGUGGACGUAUCGGAAUCCACAACUUCAUGAAGGGUUGGAGUACUAAAUCAUAAUAACAUAAACUUACUUCAUCCCAAUACUUCCCUUGAGCAAGAUGUGGGUAAAAGGGUGCCUUCAAAUUCUAGAAACUGCCACAAGCUGAAAGAGAAGGGACAUGAACACAUGCUAGACAGCCUGCUGGAGAAUAACGCCAACGAAAAAGAGGGUAAUCUGGCAAUAGGGUGUAGAGGAAAAAACCCAAUGCCCUUGCGCAAAAGAACGAAAACGGGGAUGAAAAGAAGCAGGCAAGGAAAAUCUCUCUCAAAGAACGACUCGCUAUUUCAAUUUGUGUCAUCAGUUGGGUGUUAUAAAUUGAGAGAGAGAGAGAAAUGACCAAAGCUUAAUUGAUGGAAUGGACAUGUAGCGCUCCUUUAGGUUUAGGCAAAUCUGUUAACCACUUUGUAAAGCUAUUGGCCGCAUUAUUGUAUAUGUCACUCUUAUACAUUGCAUGUUGGGGUUUUCAUAUGGUCAAGCUGCUGAGAUCAAUAUCCCACUCUAUAUAUAAUAAGAAGCUAAUAUUGAAAUCUAA